AGUGACGGUACCUGGAUAAGAAGCACCGGCUAACUACGUGCCAGCAGCCGCGGUAAUACGUAGGGUGCGAGCGUUGUCCGGAAUUACUGGGCGUAAAGAGCUCGUAGGUGGUUUGUCGCGUCGUUUGUGUAAUACCGCAGCUUAACUGCGGGGUUGCAGGCGAUACGGGCAUAACUUGAGUGCUGUAGGGGAGACUGGAAUUCCUGGUGUAGCGGUGGAAUGCGCAGAUAUCAGGAGGAACACCGAUGGCGAAGGCAGGUCUCUGGGCAGUAACUGACGCUGAGGAGCGAAAGCAUGGGUAGCGAACAGGAUUAGAUACCCUGGUAGUCCAUGCCGUAAACGGUGGGCGCUAGGUGUGAGUCCCUUCCACGGGGUUCGUGCCGUAGCUAACGCAUUAAGCGCCCCGCCUGGGGAGUACGGCCGCAAGGCUAAAACUCAAAGGAAUUGACGGGGGCCCGCACAAGCGGCGGAGCAUGUGGAUUAAUUCGAUGCAACGCGAAGAACCUUACCUGGGCUUGACAUGCACCGGAUCGCUGCAGAGAUGUAGUUUCCCUUGUGGCUGGUGUACAGGUGGUGCAUGGUUGUCGUCAGCUCGUGUCGUGAGAUGUUGGGUUAAGUCCCGCAACGAGCGCAACCCUUGUCUUAUGUUGCCAGCAUUUGGUUGGGGACUCAUGAGAGACUGCCGGGGUUAACUCGGAGGAAGGUGGGGAUGACGUCAAAUCAUCAUGCCCCUUAUGUCCAGGGCUUCACACAUGCUACAAUGGUCGGUACAACGCGCAGC
rnacentral:rRNA from 1 species